ensembl:lncRNA OBI1-AS1 OBI1 antisense RNA 1
UUGGUCUUACUGACUUUAAGAAUGAAGUUGCGGACUUUUGCGGUGAUCCACCCUACCACAUAUUGUCUCCUAAUGGCCGUCCAGUUUAUCCUGGAGCCCUUGCAUGACACAGGCCUAUCGAAGCAUAGGAGAUGCCAAUAUUUUACCUCUUGGGUACUUUCUGUGUAGAAGAUUCAUAACAAGAACAAUACUUAUUCUGCAAUUCUUUAUAUAAAGUAAGAAGAAAGCCCAAAGACAAAACCAGAGGCAACUGGCUGCUGCAUCGCCCACCUAGUGGCAGUAGUGUGAGCUAUGGACAAAAGAUCUAAGUCUCCAGGACAAAGAGUUGUGCAGCUGCUCAUUUUCCUGUUGACUUCUGUCUAAGACUUGGAGAUGUUUGUAAGAUUGGGACCUACCUACAGAGCUCCAGAGGGAAGUGAGAAGGAUGUUCACUUGCUGGUGAGAGAAGGAGCUGGUUCCAUCCAUUACGCAGUCCCCUGGGAGCGCUAAAUGCAACUUUAUCUCAACGGGGAGUGGACGAUGAGCAGGACGUCGCUAGAGGGAAAGAGUGAGUCCUACGGCCUCACUUCCCGUUUCCUUUGGCAGCGCCC